CCUACGGGAGGCAGCAGUGAGGAAUAUUGGUCAAUGGACGAGAGUCUGAACCAGCCAAGUAGCGUGAAGGAUGACUGCCCUAUGGGUUGUAAACUUCUUUUAUAUGGGAAUAAAAUGUUGCACGUGUGGGACUUUGUAUGUACCAUAUGAAUAAGGAUCGGCUAACUCCGUGCCAGCAGCCGCGGUAAUACGGAGGAUCCGAGCGUUAUCCGGAUUUAUUGGGUUUAAAGGGAGCGUAGGUGGGUUGUUAAGUCAGUUGUGAAAGUUUGCGGCUCAACCGUAAAAUUGCAGUUGAAACUGGCAGUCUUGAGUACAGUAGAGGUAGGCGGAAUUCGUGGUGUAGCGGUGAAAUGCUUAGAUAUCACGAAGAACUCCGAUUGCGAAGGCAGCUCACUGGACUGCAACUGACACUGAGGCUCGAAAGUGUGGGUAUCAAACAGGAUUAGAUACCCGAGUAGUC
rnacentral:rRNA from 1 species